rnacentral:rRNA from 1 species
ACUCCUACGGGAGGCAGCAGUGGGGAAUAUUGCACAAUGGGCGCAAGCCUGAUGCAGCCAUGCCGCGUGUAUGAAGAAGGCCUUCGGGUUGUAAAGUACUUUCAGCAGUGAGGAAGGUGGAUAUGUUAAUAGCAUAUUCAUUUGACGUUAGCUGCAGAAGAAGCACCGGCUAACUCCGUGCCAGCAGCCGCGGUAAUACGGAGGGUGCGAGCGUUAAUCGGAAUUACUGGGCGUAAAGCGCAUGCAGGUGGUUUGUUAAGUCAGAUGUGAAAGCCCGGGGCUCAACCUCGGAAUUGCAUUUGAAACUGGCAAACUAGAGUACUGUAGAGGGGGGUAGAAUUUCAGGUGUAGCGGUGAAAUGCGUAGAGAUCUGAAGGAAUACCGGUGGCGAAAGGCGGCCCCCUGGACAGAUACUGACACUCAGAUGCGAAAAGCGUGGGGAAGCAAAACAGGAUUAGAUCCCCUGGUAGGCUACU